AGUAACGCGUGGGUAACCUGCCCCAGAAUCUGGGAUAACAUCGCGAAAGCGUUGCUAAUACCGGAUAUCGUCCCUAAAACUGUGGUUUUUAGGAUGAAAGAUGACCUCUCCGUGGAAGUUGUCGUUCAGGGAGGGGCCCGCGUACCAUUAGCUUGUUGGUAGGGUAAUGGCCUACCAAGGCUACGAUGGUUAGCUGGUCUGAGAGGAUGAUCAGCCACACUGGAACUGAAACACGGUCCAG
rnacentral:rRNA from 1 species